UACGAAGGGGGCUAGCGUUGUUCGGAAUUACUGGGCGUAAAGCGUGCGCAGGCGGCUUCUCAAGUCAGGGGUGAAAGCCCAGAGCUCAACUCUGGAAUUGCCUUUGAGACUGAGUGGCUUGAGUACGAGAGAGGUGAGUGGAAUUCCCAGUGUAGAGGUGAAAUUCGUAGAUAUUGGGAAGAACACCGGUGGCGAAGGCGGCUCACUGGCUCGUAACUGACGCUCAUGCACGACAGCGUGGGGAACAAGCAGG
rnacentral:rRNA from 1 species